UACAGAGGGGGCAAGCGUUGUUCGGAAUUACUGGGCGUAAAGGGCUCGUAGGCGGCCAACUAAGUCAGACGUGAAAUCCCCAGGCUCAACCUGGGAACUGCGUCUGAUACUGGAUGGCUUGAAUCCGGGAGAGGGAUGCAGAAUUCCAGGUGUAGCGGUGAAAUGCGUAGAUAUCUGGAGGAAUACCGGUGGCGAAGGCGGCAUCCUGGACCGGCAUUGACGCUGAGGAGCGAAAGCCAGGGGAGCAAAGCGGG
rnacentral:rRNA from 1 species